CAUCAAAUUACCCAGCUAGGUUCAUAAAAAUUAAUAUUAGCCAAGUCUUUUAUUUGUUUAUUGAGAAGAUGUUACAUAGCUGAUGUAACAAACCGCGUUUUCACAGCAAACAAGAAGUCGUCAAAGUUCAUGAUUUUCUUUUGUUUUAUUCACUAUAUACGUUAGAUUUUGUCUGCUUCAAUUUUUAUAUAUGUACACCACUGGUCGACUCGGGAGAUAUAUAGAAGAACAACGAAAAUGAAGAAAACAACAACACAAGCUUUUCUUCUUCUAUGCUUGCUUCAUAUAUUUCUAUGUCUAUCAUUUCAGGCUCGUGUCCACGAAGGUAGACAUGAGAUAUGCGUAAGACCCUCCCCACCAUGUGGAGAUUCUCCUAAGGGAGGAAGUGAAGAUCCGGGACAUACGUAUAAAAAGCCUUGCAAACCCAUUCCAAGACCACCCCCUCCUGGAGAUUGCUAGCAGCCUAGCAACGUUGAACUUCCACGGCCUCCCCUUGAAUAAGUUAAUGUAAUUAUGUGAAUAAUUUGAGAUAUUUCUUACUCUUUACACUUUGAUCCAGCAAUAACUAACGAUGUAGAAUAUUGAGAUGGAAUAUAUUGUGUGUCGUGACUCGUUUCGAAGAUU